GACGAACGCUGGCGGCGUGCUUAACACAUGCAAGUCGAGCGGAAAGGCCCUUUCGGGGGUACUCGAGCGGCGAACGGGUGAGUAACACGUGAGUAAUCUGCCCUUGGCUUUGGGAUAACCACCGGAAACGGUGGCUAAUACCGGAUAUGACGCGCCCCGGCAUCGGGGUGUGUGGAAAGUUUUUUCGGCCAGGGAUGUGCUCGCGGCCUAUCAGCUUGUUGGUGGGGUAAUGGCCUACCAAGGCUUCGACGGGUAGCCGGCCUGAGAGGGUGACCGGCCACACUGGGACUGGGACACGGCCCAGACUCCUACGGGAGGCAGCAGUGGGGAAUAUUGGACAAUGGGCGGAAGCCUGAUCCAGCAACGCCGCGUGAGAGAUGACGGCCUUCGGGUUGUAAACCUCUUUCAGUACCGACGAAGCGCCGAUGAUGGUGGUGACGGUAGGUACAGAAGAAGCACCGGCCAACUACGUGCCAGCAGCCGCCGUAA
rnacentral:rRNA from 1 species